GAUAGGAUAGGAUAAUUUUAGUCUGUGAGGUUCAUACCCUUUAGGUGUUUUGCUCUUA
rnacentral:tRNA from 2 species